rnacentral:rRNA from 1 species
AUUUUCAGUGGCGAGCUUAACCGAAUAGGGGAGGCGUAGCGAAAGCGAGUCUUAAUAGGGCGUCUAGUCGCUGGGAAUAGACCCGAAACCGGGCGAUCUAUCCAUGGGCAGGUUGAAGGUUGGGUAACACUAACUGGAGGACCGAACCGACUACCGUUGAAAAGUUAGCGGAUGACCUGUGGAUCGGAGUGAAAGGCUAAUCAAGCUCGGAGAUAGCUGGUUCUCCUCGAAAGCUAUUUAGGUAGCGCCUCAUGUAUCACUGUAGGGGGUAGAGCACUGUUUCGGCUAGGGGGUCAUCCCGACUUACCAAACCGAUGCAAACUCCGAAUACCUACAAGUGCCGAGCAUGGGAGACACACGGCGGGUGCUAACGUCCGUCGUGAAAAGGGAAACAACCCAGACCGUCAGCUAAGGUCCCAAAGUUAUGGUUAAGUGGGAAACGAUGUGGGAAGGCUUAGACAGCUAGGAGGUUGGCUUAGAAGCAGCCACCCUUUAAAGAAAGCGUAAUAGCUCACUAGUCGAGUCGGCCUGCGCGGAAGAUGUAACGGGGCUCAAACCAUACACCGAAGCUACGGGUAUCACGUAAGUGAUGCGGUAGAGGAGCGUUCUGUAAGCCUGUGAAGGUGAGUUGAGAAGCUUGCUGGAGGUAUCAGAAGUGCGAAUGCUGACAUGAGUAACGACAAUGGGUGUGAAAAACACCCACGCCGAAAGACCAAGGUUU